rnacentral:rRNA from 1 species
UACGUAGGUGGCAAGCGUUAUCCGGAAUUAUUGGGCGUAAAGCGCGCGCAGGUGGUUUCUUAAGUCUGAUGUGAAAGCCCACGGCUCAACCGUGGAGGGUCAUUGGAAACUGGGAGACUUGAGUGCAGAAGAGGAAAGUGGAAUUCCAUGUGUAGCGGUGAAAUGCGUAGAGAUAUGGAGGAACACCAGUGGCGAAGGCGACUUUCUGGUCGUGUAACUGACACUGAGGCGCGAAAGCGUGGGGAGCAAACAGG